rnacentral:rRNA from 1 species
GACGAACGCUGGCGGCGUGCUUAACACAUGCAAGUCGAACGGAAAGGCCCUGCUUUUGUGGGGUGCUCGAGUGGCGAACGGGUGAGUAACACGUGAGUAACCUGCCCUUGACUUUGGGAUAACUUCAGGAAACUGGGGCUAAUACCGGAUAGGAGCUCCUGCUGCAUGGUGGGGGUUGGAAAGUUUCGGCGGUUGGGGAUGGACUCGCGGCUUAUCAGCUUGUUGGUGGGGUAGUGGCUUACCAAGGCUUUGACGGGUAGCCGGCCUGAGAGGGUGACCGGCCAAAUUGGGGCUGAGAUACGGCCCAGACUCCUACGGGAGGCAGCAGUGGGGAAAAUUGCACAAUGGGCGGAAGCCUGAUGCAGCAACGCCGCGUGCGGGAUGACGGCCUUCGGGUUGUAAACCGCUUUCGCCUGUGACGAAGCGUGAGUGACGGUAAAUGGUAAAGAAGCACCGGCUAACUACGUGC